CCUGGUACAUUGUUUGCUGCCUACACCCAUUCAGGAUGCACCGUUUCAGUGACGCAAUAUUUUGGAUAAAAACGGACAAAUGUAACUAAGGCUGGGUGUGUCAAGACGAUCAAACAUAGCCAGGGAAAUGAUCACAAGUCAGUCAUAACGUGGCUAAUAGGGUAGCAAAUCUAUUUAUGUAGCAAGGUAAAAAAAUAUAUUUAAAAAAAUGAAAAAACACUGAGCCUAAAGUUAGCUAGCUGCUGGGAGGAUGUCCUGUCCUUGGAGGACUGGUUCCCGACAGAGGACGGGGAUGACCUUGUUAACAUUUCCGGAGUAAUGAAUUAAUCCACACGAGUGCUGAAUCUCUGCCGAUUCCUGCCAGCACACAGCCUAUUGCCUCAAAUCUCUCUCUCAGAAUGCAACUUGAGUUGGGUGAUCGUGAGAUGUCUUGUGGGAUUGUGCUUCUGAUCUCCCUGGCGACAGCCUGAACCCGCAACCCUGAUUGGGCCCAGAUGGACUUUGGAACCUUCACUGUGGUUCUCACUUCAAAAAGCCCCCGGUGCCCUCAGAAGUCUCACCCAACAUCCUCAUUUUCUGUCUGUGUCAUUUCUCUCAGCCCAUAUGUGAAUGUAUAAUCUUUGACUGUUGGACUGCUUGAAUGCGUGCGUGCGUGAGUACAAUGGUAUAGUGUCAUUUAUAUAUGUAUCACUGUUGAAAGACGCUUUUUUUGACACCUUUGAGAAGAAUGUUGAACGCAGAAUAUCUACAUCUUGCAUUGUACAUUUUGGCAACACAUGCUAGAGACUCUUUAAAAUGUUUUAAAGAAUACCAAUGAAAAGCCCUCUCUCAUAUGGUAAUAUUAGCUUUUUAUAGGAACACCACACGGCUUGAUUGCUUUUCAUCGUAUGUUAUUAAAGAUGCAUACUGUGGCCGGAAUAAUUGCACGGCACAGGGAACUCUGACGGUUUUAUUGCAGUAGCAGUAAGACAUGGAGUAAACAACUAGUCUUUGGGUCCCUUGAUGCCACUAGAUUCCCCGGGAAACCAGUGUGUCAGAAAUGUUUAAUCUUCUACAAAUGAGACGUCACGUACCUUUUCUCCAAUUGGCUCACAGGAGAAAGUGAGAGUGGAGAAAGCCCUUGAACUGGAACUUCACAUCUGACCUCUGUCCUUCUGUGGUAUUUUUCAGUUUUCUAUAUUGCUCAUGUAUCUCCAUUUGACUAAAUGGAUGCAAGUUGCAUCCCCCAGUAAACAGCACUGAUAAAUUGACAAUAUUGUAUAAACAGAUGCAGCCGUAAUGUGAGUUGUUGCACCCAUACAGAGCCUCGCAUAGUGAUGGAUUUAGACACAGACAAUUCAAUAUACAUCAAAACACUGGGUGAGGUGCUGUAAUUUAUGCUUAUGACAUUUUAUGACAAGAAUCUUACUGAUUGCUGUCGGUCUAGGAGGGACAUAAGUGUACAGGCAAUCUGGAAUGGAACAGAAUAACAUAACUAAAUUGAUAUCUUUGAUGUGAUACAUUUAUACUUCUACUAUUCUGAUGGAUCCUGGUUUGAAUAGCCAGGCUUGAACAUGAUUUUUGGGAUCGAGUCCUUUUCCUGUGGACCUAAUUAUUUUGUAACUAAUCAACACCUGUAGAAUAGAAGUUUGGACAUUUUAACCCCUUUUAAUAUGAAAUAUUAUAGAAAAUAAUUCACCCUGAAAACAUGUCUGUUGUUGGUAGCAGGGAGUUGUCCUUUGAGAGGUGCCCUCUGGUCUCCUAGUGGCUGACUGGCUGGGGUAGUGUAUGUCAGCAGAACUGUUGGUGAUUUGAGUGCAAAAUGUGAAAUGUCAGAAGGACAGGACAGGCUGCCUUUCAUAUGAGCUCUGAGAGCCACUCCUAUCCAUCCUACUGGCCCUGCUGAACUUGCAAGAACUCCAGCUGCGGACCAAUGCUUCAUCCCUGCCCAGCCUGCCCACAGAGAAAGAUAGAACUAAAACAUCACAGAUACACUACCACUGCUGUCUUGAUAGGUGAACAUGUGCAAAGGGAUUGUAACACACCUACUGUUAAAUAACAGAGAGAAUCUGCUCAGGACAUUAUUUAUACAGUUAUGUUGAGACUUUAAAAAUCUUUACAACAGGUGAAGGUUUAGCAGUUCAGGAAAUCUGCCUUACCUCCAGUGGAGAAUGCCUGCCCCCUCUCAUUGAAACCACUGAAGUUCAAGGCCGACUGCAGUACUGCAGGCAUUGCUAAGAGAAAACAGGAUCCCCCAUUAUAGUGAAUGGAGAAAUGGCAAUCUUCAUGUAAGUAAAUAAAACAUUCUAAGACAAUCAUUGUGCCAAUAAUUGCUUAUAAUACACCAGAUGUAUGUCCUUGAAUUUAUUCUUUAAAAAUUGCACACAGAAGAUGUUCUAAGGAUAAUUGUGUUGCUAAUGGCAGUCUGCAGUACCCCGGUCAGCCUUUAAUUUGAGGGGGCAGCCAGUUUCAUGUAUUAAUGUCACGUGCAUAUGUACAAUGGAAUACCUUCAUUGAACACUCUAAACCCAACAAUGCAGUAAUAAAUAACAAUGUAAUGCUAAAAUUAACAUAAGGUAGAACAAUAACACACGUGAUAUAAAAAUAAUAAGUAAGAAGAACACGAGAAAGUAAGUAAGUAUACCAUAUAGAGGGUCAGUCAAGGUCAACUCAGUCUGUGUAGCCAAUUUGUUAGCUAUUUAGUUAGCUAUUUAGCAGUCUUAUGGCUUGGCGAU